rnacentral:tRNA from 2 species
GCCGGCUUAGCUCAGUUGGUAGAGCACCCGCCUUGUAAGCGGAAGGUCGUCCGUUCGAUCCGGACAGCCGGCACCA